rnacentral:rRNA from 1 species
CCUACGGGAGGCAGCAGUAGGGAAUAUUGCACAAUGGGGGAAACCCUGAAGCAGCAACGCCGCGUGGAGGAUGAAGGUUUUCGGAUCGUAAACUCCUUUUGUUAGAGAAGAUAAUGACGGUAUCUAACGAAUAAGCACCGGCUAACUCCGUGCCAGCAGCCGCGGUAAUACGGAGGGUGCAAGCGUUACUCGGAAUCACUGGGCGUAAAGAGCGCGUAGGCGGGAUAGCAAGUCAGAUGUGAAAUCCUAUGGCUUAACCAUAGAACUGCAUUUGAAACUGUUAUUCUAGAGUAUGGGAGAGGUAGGUGGAAUUCUUGGUGUAGGGGUAAAAUCCGUAGAGAUCAAGAGGAAUACUCAUUGCGAAGGCGACCUGCUAGAACAUAACUGACGCUGAUGCGCGAAAGCGUGGGGAGCAAACAGGAUUAGAUACCCCGGUAGUC